GCAUUUUUAGCUCAGCUGGAUAGAGCAAUAGCCUUCUAAGCUAUCGGUCAUAGGUUCGAAUCCUAUAAAAUGUU
rnacentral:tRNA from 1 species